AAUAGUCAUUAUUCAGGAAAAAAAGGAAAUCUUUACAUUUAGGAAUCUGGAACCACUUGUAUUACUGAUCAAUUAUUCACAUUGAUGAAUAAUCUUCUGACGAGUAAAGAUCCUUUUGAGAACGGUCACCUAAAAUUACAGCGCGAUGAAAACUUGAGAAUUUAUGCAUAAUUGAAAUUACAAAAUAUGUUUUAAAGUGUAACUUCAGCGGGCUUCUUACUUCAUUAAAAAUAUAAUCAUCUCUUGUGUGAUUUAUUAUUAGGACUGUGAGAUGGUGCCGAUGAGUAAGAGGCAGGAGACACGCUGUACUUUGCUGGUACUGACUGGUUCCUCUUGUCUUGGCGUCUGCUACCACUCCCAACCCCGCAUAUGGUGGAGUCAGCACGGAGCUCAUCCGCUGCGCUGUGUGUGUGAAUGUGUGUGUUUGUGUUUGUCAGGAAAAAAAGCUCAAGCAUGUGUAUGUUGAGGAAAGAACAAAGGAGAAGGUUGAAGGGAC